UUAAACCAAGCUUUCUCCCUAAAUAUAUACGUACAGAUAUUAAACCUUCAUGAUGGAAAAUGUAGUCACAUAAACACAUGAUGCGAGACAGAAAAGUUGAUGCUAAGAUGACGGAAACUAAAACCAACAAAAGUAGUUGCUAAUGGUUGAAGCCAACUUAAUUAAAACAAAAGGCAGUUUGUUUUAGUGACAGCAACUCCUGGACUUCUAUUCAACCACAGCAAAAUCCUAAUAUUGGCAGGAUCAUUUUGCCUUGUAGUGACCCUACAAGAUGCGUAAGAACAAAAAGAAGAUAAAGAUUAGUACUUUUGUGCAUCAUAGAUGACAAGAUUUAAGAAAAGUUGGAAAUAAUAGGGGCAUCCAUUGACAGGAGUAGCAUAUUAGGGCGACUAAUAAAACUGAAUAAUCAAAUAAAUGUACUGUUCAAAGUCGCGCCAGUGUCUUUAAUUGAAUUGUCCUUAAAUUAUCUGUCUGACUUACCGACUGAUAUCUCCGCAGUGCAUCAAGUUUGCAGAAGACUAGACAUAUAUAAAUAGGUCUCACUAUAUAUGGCAUCAAGUUGCAGCCCUUAAAGGAGUACAUCUUAAUCCUCUUCAUUGGCUAGUAUACAAGCCUGCAGUAAUACGCGCACCAUCAAGUCCUACUAUGAUAUUAAAUUCAGCCUACACUCCAGUCUAAAGGAAAAAGAAGAAAGAAAAAAAAUAAGAAAACUGAUCAAGUUACCUCGGGAAAUUACUUACCAAACUUCAAGUUCAGCUGCAGCUAAUUAUAGAUAGAACUUUCCCC
rnacentral:lncRNA from 1 species